rnacentral:rRNA from 1 species
GCUAGCGUUGCUCGGAAUUACUGGGCGUAAAGGGCGCGUAGGCGGUCUGCUAAGUCGAACGUGAAAUCCCCGGGCUUAACCCGGGAACUGCGUCCGAUACUGGUGGGCUUGAGUGCAGGAGAGGAAUGCGGAAUUCCAGGUGUAGCGGUGAAAUGCGUAGAUAUCUGGAGGAACACCGGUGGCGAGGGCGGCAUUCUGGACUGCAACUGACACUGAAAGACGAAAGCCAGGGGAGCAAACGGG